rnacentral:rRNA from 1 species
GACGAACGCUGGCGGCGUGCUUAACACAUGCAAGUCGAACGGAAAGGCCUCUUUCGGGGGGUACUCGAGUGGCGAACGGGUGAGUAACACGUGAGUAACCUGCCCUUGACUUUGGGAUAACUUCAGGAAACCGGGGCUAAUACCGGAUAGGAGCUCCUGCUGCAUGGUGGGGGUUGGAAAGUUUCGGCGGUUGGGGAUGGACUCGCGGCUUAUCAGCUUGUUGGUGGGGUAGUGGCUUACCAAGGCUUUGACGGGUAGCCGGCCUGAGAGGGUGACCGGCCACAUUGGGACUGAGAUACGGCCCAGACUCCUACGGGAGGCAGCAGUGGGGAAUAUUGCACAAUGGGUGGAAGCCUGAUGCAGCAACGCCGUGUGCGGGAUGACGGCCUUCGGGUUGUAAACCGCUUUCGCUCAUGACGAAGCUUUGUGUGACGGUAGUGGGUAAAGAAGCACCGGCUAACUACGUG